rnacentral:rRNA from 1 species
GACGAACGCUGGCGGCGUGCUUAACACAUGCAAGUCGAACGGAAAGGCCCUGCUUUUGUGGGGUGCUCGAGUGGCGAACGGGUGAGUAACACGUGAGUAACCUGCCCUUGACUUUGGGAUAACUUCAGGAAACUGGGGCUAAUACCGGAUAGGAGCUCCUGCUGCAUGGUGGGGGUUGGAAAGUUUCGGCGGUUGGGGAUGGACUCGCGGCUUAUCAGCUUGUUGGUGGGGUAGUGGCUUACCAAGGCUUUGACGGGUAGCCGGCCUGAGAGGGUGACCGGCCACAUUGGGACUGAGAGACGGCCCAGACUCCUACGGGAGGCAGCAGUGGGGAAUAUUGCACAAUGGGCGGGAGCCUGAUGCAGCAACGCCGCGUGCGGGAUGACGGCCUUCGGGUUAUAAACCGCUUUCGCCUGUGACGAAGCGUGAGUGACGGUAAUGGGUAAAGAAGCACCGGCUAACUACGUG